rnacentral:lncRNA from 1 species
UAGCGGGUUAUUUAACAGUGUGCACCACAUUUUUUAUGUUAUUUCGAAUAGACAGAAAAAAAAAUUACAGUCAUUUCUUAUAAUUUAAUUCUAAAUUCCAUUUUAAACCGUAGAAAACCAUGAAAAAAACGUUGACUACGUCACGGUCACAUGACGUAAUUAUGUCUAUGGGCUCAUAACAAAAUAACGUCAGCCAAUCAGAAGACGCGUUACAUCCAAAAUUAAAUUAUU